GUUUUGACUUUUUCACUUCUUUUUGACCCUAGGCUUGUCCUAGUGGUCUUGUAUCUCAUGUUUGAAUGUGAUUUUCAGGUUAAGAGGCAAAAUACCUUAAGGAGGUGGAUUCACAUUUGAUUGAGAUAUCAUUUGACAUUGUACACUAACUUGUUUUGUUUUGUAGGAUGUUUGGCUUUUGAGUUGCUUGCACUUUGGUGCAUUGGAUUGUGUUUGUCUGUGUAUAG
rnacentral:lncRNA from 1 species